rnacentral:lncRNA from 1 species
UGACCAAAUUCACAGAGGGAUUAUGCCUACAAAUCCACGGAUAAGUCAGCGGUUUAGAAAAAGAACAUCUCCCCAGAGAACCAGUGCUCCAUGGGCAAGGUCCACGUCCAUUUAAGCUGGUGGCUGGAAAUGCAGAAGUGAACAAGCCAAAGCCCUGGCAUCAAGGAGGAAGCACCGUGGGAAAAAGACAUAGAAACAAAAAGGACAAACUGGAAUAAAGGCCACACUGGAAGGAUGAAAACAAGGUGGGAAUUCAGAGAACAAUGAAGGGCUCCACAGAGUCGGGAGGGCAGGACAAGCUGGGCCUGGAGGAUGAGCUGU